rnacentral:rRNA from 1 species
GAUGAACGCUGGCGGCGUGCCUAAUACAUGCCAGUCGAGCGAACAGACGAGGAGCUUGCUCCUCUGACGUUAGCGGCGGACGGGUGAGUAACACGUGGAUAACCUACCUAUAAGACUGGGAUAACUUCGGGAAACCGGAGCUAAUACCGGAUAAUAUAUUGAACCGCAUGGUUCAAUAGUGAAAGACGGUUUUGCUGUCACUUAUAGAUGGAUCCGCGCCGCAUUAGCUAGUUGGUAAGGUAACGGCUUACCAAGGCAACGAUGCGUAGCCGACCUGAGAGGGUGGGGGCCCACAUGGGAACAGAGCCAGGGCCGAGACCACACGGGGGGGAGCAAGGGGGGAUUUUCCCGAAGGGGGGAAAGCCCGAACGGGACAGCCCGGGGUGAGUAAGAAAGUUUUUGGGAUCGAAAAACGUUUUUAUGGGGGAAAAAAAAAUUUGAAAGAAACAAUGAAGGUCUUAAGGGUACUUAAUAAAAAGGCGAGGGCUAACUAGGGG